ensembl:lncRNA
CAGUCGUCAGGCAGGACAGACGUCCUGGGAGUUCUCAGCUCAGCAGGAGUUAUUUUCACGUAGAAGACAUGCUGCAUUCCCUUACUCCAGGCGAGUCCACACUCUAAAAACCCGGGCAAAUUCACACAUGUUGGGUUGCAUGGUGCAAGCUUUUGUAAAAGACAUUUCAAGAACAAGAAGGUUUCACGGCUUGUGCCUGCUCAUGCGCAAGACUUCAAAUUUAACUGAAAAAGGCUGUUUUGGCGCCAAGCUACUGUUUCUUUGAGAGAUCCUGCCUUUACCUGCUCCCUCCUAUACUGAUGUGGUGUAUGUGGUAUUGCUGAGCUUGUAUGUGGUGGAAGCAGAAUAUGUGAGGAUUACUACUGCUGCACAUGUUCCAAGGCUUUUUACACAACUUGACCAAUACACUGACCAGCUCAUAAAAGUCUUCAAGAAAAAAGGAGGCGUUGCAGGGAAGAAAAUUAGACAAACUUUGGCCCCAGCCACACAGAAGGAAAGUAUUGAAAAGGGGAGGGAGUGUGUCCUCAGGGCACUACCUUUUUACCUGAAUGAAGACCCAAGCAUCCUCUUCAAAGAAUAAUUGCUACAGCUGUUCAGAGGGAGCUGGAACAAAUUACCCUUGCUAUCUUUACCAUCGAAAGAGCUGAUGCCAGCACUCCUCCAGCCGAUGUGGGUAUAACCAUCUAGUGUGUCCUGGAAGACCUGGCCUCUGCAUGUGCACUCUUAAUGGGUGGGAUAUAUGCACUGAAUCUCAGUUAACCUCAAGACUGAAAGCUUUCUUUGAAGUACUUCAGAAGCUCUUCCUUCAUCUGUAUGUCAGCAUACUCUUGACCAAGGUACAGUUGCUCAAGAAUACACUGAAUGAAUAAGCCAACCUUUAAUUUGGAUGAUGAAUGUUCUGUCAGAUGGACAGAAGUUUUUCGGAGGCUGAAUGGGAAUAAAAUGGUAAUUUGUAAAUGACAGAUAACGGGAAAAUUACAUUUAAGAGAAAUUUAGAACAUUUUGAAAAGUUUGUAAACUACUACAAUUUGAGAGAUUUUACUGUUGUGGGGGGCUAGUAAGAGACAAUCAAAAGUAUUGAGAUUUAAAGGAUUUAAUUGAGAGAUGAUACUGCACCAGAAAUGUUGAAGGGUGGUGUGUAUAUUAGCGUUCAAGG